UCGAUAAGCUUGAUCCUNCGGGAGGCAGCAGUAGGGAAUCUUCCGCAAUGGACGAAAGUCUGACGGAGCAACGCCGCGUGAGCGAUGAAGGCCUUCGGGUCGUAAAGCUCUGUUGUUAGGGAAGAACAAGUACCGUUCAAAUAGGGCGGUACCUUGACGGUACCUGACGAGAAAGCCACGGCUAACUACGUGCCAGCAGCCGCGGUA
rnacentral:rRNA from 1 species